rnacentral:snRNA from 1 species
CGUAGGGAGCCCUGGCUUUUACAUGUCUUACCCAUUGAUUACCAGAGUUGAUUCAGUAUAUCUGGCCUGGUUAGGCUUGUAUCUUCUCUAACCUCCCACACUGAGUGGCUUUCUUAAAGGCAUGAUCUCAUUGAAGAGAACUGUUGUUCCUAAUGGUAUAGUUUUUUGUUUAAGGCAGUGGUUCUCAACUG